UUUCCAACUCUUAUCUGUAACAAACACAGUUCCCCCCAACACCUCUAUGUGUCGUCGGAACCUUCUAGAAUAACCAAAAAUCCCAACGGACGUCUUUCCUGCAACUCUCUUGCCUCCCUGCAAUUUUGGCUCCAGAUCUGCUGCGAGUCGAAUCUUCAGUCAAGUAUGUAAUUUUGGAAUAUAAUUUACCUUUUAUUUGAUAUCUUUGCUCGCAAAUAGUCUUGUAUUGAAUUUAAUGAUCUUUAGUUAAGGUGAGAAGCGAUGACUCCACCGCCGAUAGAGCGGAACGGCGGAGAAUCAACGGCCGGUGAAACGGCGAGGUCUGUCCCGACGCCGUUUUUAACAAAGACGUACCAGCUCGUCGAGGAUCCAUCCAUCGACGACGUAGUCUCUUGGAACGAAGACGGAUCUACCUUUAUCGUAUGGAAUCCGACGGAGUUUGCUAGAGAUUUGCUUCCUAAAUAUUUUAAGCAUAACAAUUUCUCUAGCUUCGUUCGGCAGCUCAACACCUAUGUAAGUUCCUCUAUCUGAAUUUAUUAAUUAGAUUUGCCAUGAAAUAUAGAAAGUCGUUGCUUUUUCGUCGAUGAUAAAUGCUUUGAUUCUGUUUUAUAGGGAUUUCGGAAAGUCGUACCUGAUCGAUGGGAAUUCUCAAACGAUUGCUUUCGGAGAGGUGACAAAAGUCUGUUACGCGAUAUCCAGCGUCGGAAAGUAGUCACGCCGAUUGCUACUCCUUGCGCAGCUGUAACAGCGGUCGUUACCGUGGCUGCUCC
rnacentral:lncRNA from 1 species